rnacentral:lncRNA from 1 species
AGGAUGUGAAAGUUGGCAAAAGUUGUAAGCGGAUUCAAGAUUGGUACUCAUUAUGAAUGAGUAAUCUUCGGCUGUGUACUCUACCGUUGCUUUCGCUUCGACAAUCCCCACAUUGUUUAUCUAUAACAAGACAUUAUUGAAAAGGUUUAGCAUAGCAUAACGAUUUUAGUUUAUAUGUAUUAUUGAAAAAUACAUGAAAAUUAUGUGUAUUAAACGUAAAAAAGUACAUCUUUGAGUUUUAAAAAACGUACAAUUUUACAAAUUAUUGAAAUUUGAAAUGUGUACAACAAACAUAAUUAUUUAUGAGAGGAUGUUUAGUUUGUCUUGAAAGUGUGAUGAUGGUUAUUCAUGAUUCAUGCACAUAUGUUGUUUCAACUGAUCAGUCUUCUACUUACAAGGAUGUUGAGUUUGCCAUCAAAAAGUGAUGAGACCUUGUUUAUAAGCUCCUCUCUUUGGGUUUUUGACACCACAUCACAGACUGAGCCAGUGACUUGAAAACCCUUCUUCUCCCACUGACUCAGGCAGUCAUUAAGGUCAACUUCAUUUCGGGAACAAGUAUGCACAAUUGCACCCAGCCCUGCCAAUUCCUCCACUAUCGCAUACCUAAAUAAAACUUUACUAAUUUAACAUAGAGCAAUACAAAAUAAUUCAAACCCAUAAUUCUAAAACAGAAGAAAACACGGGACAAGUGGAGAAAUAAAGAGAAUAUUGCAUUGGAUGUAUAGGAAAAUUAAAACUAACAGAAGAUUAAUGUUCUUAAGUAUCCAAAUUUAGAGAAGCUAACCCAAUUCCUUUGGUUCCACCGGUGACAAGAGCUGUCAUUCCACGUAGAGACCAUGUCCUCUCUCUGCUAUUCAUCUCUAUCUGCUCUCUAAUCUUCCUGUCUGCUCUCUAAUCUAUCUUUAUGCAAAUACUUUGUGGUUUCGGUUAUAUUUCUUUUCGAUAGGAUAACUAUUGUAUAUUUUGGCGGCCAGGGAAAGGUACGCGUGCCAUCUGUUCAUUCAGCAACUUGCAACAUUUUGGUUGCUUGUUUUGACGUGGCAAACUAAUGCAAAUUGAUUGUCCAAUUUGAAUUUGACUAAAUUAUAUUUCAUCCAAUUUCAACAUCUUACAAUGACUGUCUAUUUCAUACAACUUUCGAUUCAAUCGUUACACAGUGAUUCAAUAAUUCAGGACGAAUUCUAAUCUCAUAUUCUAUAAAGCUCGUUUUGAAUUUGAUUCGUGACACCGAUGAAUUAUACACUAUAAAGAAUUGAAGUUUAAAGAACACUAUUUCAACAAACUUUUGGAACUAGAAAGCAAAGAUACUUUUGGAGCUAGAAACAAAUGGAAGGUAUUACGGUUCGUCCUGAACGAGAUCGAUGUCUUUUCGGUUAAUUUUUCAGCAAAUAGACAUGUCAUUGAGAGUAUUGUUUAAACCCAUAAACAUUUUGAACUAUUUUUACUUAACAUCAUCAUAUUUAAAAGGGCUUUAGUUAUUUCACUAGCACUUUCAAUUGGAAACCGCCCCCUGUAACAAGCUAGACAUAUGAAGUUAUGAGAAUACUUAAAGAGCAAGUCGUCCAAAUCAUCUUUAGGUAAUCUUUGGAGGGGUCAGUUGAUGUUGCUUAAAGAGUUUUUGUAACAUUUCUCGUCUAAGUUCACCUCAGUACUUAAGUUUAAUUAUUUUUUAAUCUUUAAUUGUACGAAAAGAAAAAAAAGGGACAUAUAACAUGAAUGUAGGGUCAUCAUAUCAACUAAAAAAGCUUCAUUGGAGUAUUUCGUCGAGCACCUAGUAGGCACCUACCAAUUCCUGCCAACAUAUACCGAAAGCUUAUGCUAACGUAUGUCGACAACUAUUAUUAUUGUAGAGGCUUGUCAAUGGUGGAUGCAAGAUGCCGUGGAGUAAUGUUGAAGAUUGUUAAGACUUGUCAACUAAGGUAUUUCAUUGAGCACAUGGUGGUCACAAUAGAAUCACACAAGAGGAGAGAAAGAAGACAAAUGUGAUAGAAUAAAGUAGAAGAAGUAGGAGGAGGAGGUUGUAAAUUUCGUUUGCCUUAGUUGUUUAUAGGGGUCAAAUAUAAUACGCAAACAAAUAUACAUGAAGGUUUUUAACUUGUUGGGUCAAGAGCAACCAAUGAUCUUAUGCUGACUUUGUCACUGAUAAUAAGAUCCCUGUCUUAAUUUUUUGCUAAGAACAUAAAAAAUCUUGUAUCGUUGAGUAUUGAUAGGAACAUGUCAUCAGCCUUGUUGUAUCUUUGAGGGGCCAAGGAAAAAGAUGAUGUGCAAUGCUUCUUGAGGAGUUUUGUUGUUUCUCAAUAAAAUCUAGUCAUUUGAAUUUCUUGCUUCUAGUACUACCUAAUGCUUGAAGUUUGAACAUGUUAUAGAAGCAUUUUUUAUUGUUUUGAUCAUACAUACAUGUCGAUCAUUUUCAAUGAACUGGCGAUUUCGGUGGUGCUCUUUGAGAUGUUGGAGUCUUCUCUUCAUCAGGUUUGGCGUGAUCUCAGGCGUUUGUUGGUGGCGUUCUAGCGGCGGCGAAGGGUAGCAAGUUGCUAGGGUUUGUUGCGGUUUUUUUCUUUUGGGUGGUCUCAAACUUUUGUUUUGGGCCAUUUUUGCUUUACUCUGGAGGCCUACAUCUAUGUUGUGUGCUUAUUGUGAUUGAGCUUCUUUCUUUGUAAUUAUGUUGUCUUGAUAAUAAUUUUAUCCUUUAAAUAAACAACAAAAAAAAAUUUUCCAAACUUGGAAGCUCUUCUACUAGAGUGAAACGAAAUGUCAAUAGACCGAAUGGUUGGCAAUCUUUUAUUUACAUAUUAAAUUAUAAAUUAAUGUCACCUAUUUUCACAUACAAUUAAAGCACACCACUUUAGAAUUAGAUACGAGAUUUUAUUUUUCCAGACCUGCAGCACUGUCUCUACGACUGCAUAUGCAAUUAUGUAUCCAUGCAGAACUGUUUCCAAGUCAUGCUCCUUGGAAGAGCAAGCCAUUGACGGUCACCCCGCCGUCGACGAUAAUAGUCUGCCCAGUAAUGUAAGAGGCUGCAGGUAGACAUAGAAAUGCUACCAAGGAAGACACCUCCUCUGGCUCUCCAGGACGUCCUAAAGGGCACCGAGAGUUUAUCAUCUCCAAUUUCUUUUCAUUUCGGAGAAACUGCAUGCAAAGAAGAGAUAAUAGAUGAAAAGAGAAUGGAUGUGUAGGACACAUGUAUUAGCGACGAUCUUAAUAAUUGGUCAAGUUAUUCGUAAACAAAUUAAUUAAGAUUAGAAGUAUGAUCUAAACUUGCUGUAAACAAGUCAGGUCUAAGAACCUAUACAUGAAUAAACAAGACAUAUGGACUUUUGGCAAAACCCAACUUUUUAUUCUAAUUUCAAUUAUGGGCUUUUGGCAGAAUCAUCAACGAAAUACGAAUUGGCUUGAAAUUAUGAGAUGAUUGUAAAUAUAAGAUGUUAAAAGAAUUCACUCAUGUAUCUUAUAUGUAGUUUUGAUUUUCCUGCCGCAACAUCGAUUGUAUUUAAAAAUAAAUAAAAAUAAAAUGCAUGCACAAGAACGUGAUCCGAAUAAUCUUACAGGUUCAGCGAGGGGAGUCGUGAUGAACCAAGGUGCCACACUGUUGGUCCUUAUGUUAUCCUUCGCCCACUCACAUGCUAAGUUUUUUGCUAACUGAUUCAUUGCACCUGAGAUACAGUAAAGAAAAGCCACACUUUGGUCUAACAUUAAAAAUCACACACCAAAAACAGCGUAAUCAAAUUUUAGGUUAGUCUAAAAGUGAUAUAAACAAUAUAUGAUACUUUUAAAUUUUUUAAUCUGAUGUAAGGUGUUAGUCUAAAAGUGAUAUAUUUUUUUCAAAGAAUUGAAUGAAUUUUUAACUAAUUAUAAACAAUAUAUGAUACUUUUCAAUUUUUAAUAAAAGUCGGAAAUCUAUAUAAGGAUUAACUAUAAGCACCUUUAGUGGCAGAAUAUAUAGAUUCACCAUCUAUUGAGACCACACCAGCAGUAGAGGACAAAAAAACAAUGCUAGCAGCUCCUGCAGCUUUGAGAAGAGGAUGUGAAAGCUGGCAAAAGUUGUAAGCAGAUUCAAGAUUGGUACUCAUUAUGAAUGAGUAAUCUUCAGCUGUGUACUCUAGCGUUGCUUUCGUCAAGCUAGUCCCCACAUUGUUUAUCUAUAACAAGACAUUAUUGUAAAGGUUUAGCAUAACAUAACGAUUUUAGCUUAUAUGUAUUAUUGAAAAAUGCAUGAAAAUUAUGUGUAUUAAACGUAAAAAGUACAUAUAUACGUGUACACAUUUUUGAGUUUUAAAAAACUUACAAUCUUACAAAUUAUUGAAUUUUGAAAUGUGUACAACAGAGUUAUUUACGAGAGGAUGUUUAGUUUGUCUUGAAAGUGUGAUGAUGAUUCAUGAUUCAUCCACAUAUCUUAUUUCGUCCUGGUUUGGUACUGAGGUGAUUCUGAAAAAAGUAGAUAUCAAAAAAAGUUCCCAGCUUUUUUAUGUUUGGUAAACAUUCAGCUUCAACUUUUUUUCACAGUUUUGGGUGAAAAAAAACCAAAAACACAAAGCUGCAAAACCUAGCUUUGAAAAACCAGUUUUUUUUUCACAUCUGUUUUACAUAAAAGUUUAUCAAACACUAUAAUAUUGUUUUUUUUUUUAAAAGUACUUUUACAAAAAAGUUUACCAAACACUCUACUGCUUUAUUUUACAGUUGCUUAUUCUCACAGCAUAGCAGAAACAAUUUUUUUCAAAACACAACAAUACCAAACCAGCCCUUCAACUGAUCAAUCUUUACUUACAAGGAUGUUGAGUUUGCCAUCAAAAAGUGAUGAGACCUUGUUUAUAAGCUCCUCUCUUUGGGUUUUUGACACCACAUCACAGACUGAGCCUGUGACUUGAAAACCCUUCUUCUCCCACUGACUCUGGCAGUCAUUAAGGUCAACUUCUUUCGGGAACAAGUAUGCACAAUUGCACCCAGCCCUGCCAAUUCCUCCACUAUCGCAUACCUAAAUAAAACUUUACUAAUUUAACAUAGAGCAAUACAAAAUAAUUCAAACCCAUAAUUCUAAAACAGAAGAAAACAUGGGACAAGUGGAGAAAUAAAGAGAAUAUUGCAUUGGAUGUAUAGGAAAAUUGAAACUAAAAGAAGAUUAAUGUUCUUAAGUAUCCAAAUAUAGAAGCUAACCCAAUUCCUUUGGUUCCACCGGUGACAAGAGCUGUCAUUCCACGAAGAGACCAUCUCCUCUCUCUGCUAUUCAUCUCUAUCUGCUCUCUAAUCUAUCUUUAUGCAAAUACUUUGUGGUUUUUAUUAUAUUUCUUUUCGAUAGGAUAACUAUUGUAUAUUUUGGCGGCCAGGGAAAAGUACGCGUGCCAUCUAUUCAUUCAGCAACUUGCAACAUUUUGUUUGCUUGUUUUGGCGUGGCAAACUAUGCAAAUUGAUUGUCCAAUUUGAAUUUGACUAAAUUAUAUUUCAUCCAAUUUCAACAUCGUUCAAUGACUUUCUAUUUCAUACAACUUUCGAUUCAAUCGUUCAAUAGUUCAGUACGAAUUCUAAACUCGUAUUCUAUAAAGCUCGUUUUGAAAACUUGAUUCGUGACACUAAUGAAUUAUACACUAUAAAGAAUCAAAGUUUAAAGAACACUAUUUCAACAAACUUUUGGAACUAGAAAGCAAAGAUACUUUUGGAGCUAGAAAACAAAAGGAAGGUAUUACGGUUCGUCCUGAACGAGAUCGAUGUCUUUUUGGUUAAUUUUUCAGCAAAUAGACAUAUCAUUGAGAGUAUUGUUUAUAGGCAUACAAUUCUUCUUGCUCCACAUUUUUUAAGGUUAAAUUACAUUUUACCCCAUCAAGUAUGGUAUAAAUUACAACCUUAUACAACAUCUUUAAAACAUUUCAAUUUCAUACAUUUAAUUAUAUUUUAUUUUCAGUUUUAUACAUCCGUUAAAAUAUCUGUUAAGUCAACCGUUACAUGAUAAUGUGGUAAAUGAUGACAUGAUUCUCAACUUUGCACCAUGUGAAUAAGAAAAUAAUAAAAAAGGAUUAUUUAAUAAAAAAUCAAUUUAUAUUAUAAUUAAAAACAAACAAAAAUUGAAAAGGGCAUCUGGGCAAUCACCCUCUUCCUCCUCCAGCACCACCACCAACGCACCUACGAAACCCUAGCCGUAAAGAGAAACGCGCACAGCUUCCAUCUCUCUAUCGGCAUAGCCCCAUGUACGAUCAGCCAUGGGCAAAUUUCACGGAUCGUUCGCACAUGCCCUUAUCCAUUCACGCAAGGACCUGCAACCAGAUAUCGACCCGCUACUGAAACCCAGACCAUAAAUCUGAUUGAAGCCCAAACCACUGCCGCACCUGAUCGAUUCUGAACCACGAAUCUGUUCUGAACCACCGCUACGAUAUUAGACCCGAUGAACCACAAAGAGCUGCCAUUUGAUUGUCGCGAUGACCUCUGCCGCAAUCUGUUUGAACCACCGCACCGCGCCCAGACCCCUGCAUCCACAAGCCCGACCUGCUUGCCUCGAGCAGAUGUAACCAAAAAAGCCGGUACCCUUACCAUAUUUGUACUGCACCUGCAUCCACUAGCACCGUCUAGCGCCUGUAUCAAGCCAAAUCCUCAUUUAUUUUCUAUUUUCGUGGUGAAAGGGGGCUUCAAGCCCAGAUCCUAUUUCGUCAAUUUUAAAUGGAGUUGAAAUGAAAUUUUCAAAAUCUUUACAAUUUUUUAAAUUUGCAAAUCAAAGGAAUUCAUAAAAUGAACACAAUUUCAUCAAUUUGGAGCUUUUGAAGUUGUUAAGGGUUGAAGAGGAGGAGGAAAACGAGUUUGGAGAAAGAAAGGCGGCGAGGUUGCUCGAGAAGAUGUAGGGUGGGGUGGGGGGGGAGGUUGCGGGGGAGGUGGGGGGUGGGGCGGGAAGGGUGGGUUUGGGUUGCGGGGAAGGGGAAGGGGGGCGGUUGCGGGUGGUUUUUUUGGAUGGGAGGGUAGGUGAAGAGAGUCGAGGAGAGGAAGAAGGUAGGUGGGGAAGAUGGGUUUCAGUUUUUUUUUUAUUUUUUAAGUGUAAAUUAUUAUAUUUUAAAUGCAUAAAAAAUUAAUUUGUUUGUCAUGGCAUAAAUUUAGCAAUCAUGUCAGCAUAAAUGUAGAUCUCAUAUUUGUCACGUCAUCAUUUAAUUGUAUAUAUGAAAUUGAUAUAAAAUGAUAAGUAGAUGCAUGAAAUUAAAAUGUUUGUAAGAUAACAAUAUAUAUGAAAUUGAAAUAAAAUGAUAAGUAAAUGUAUGAAAUUAAAAUAUUUUAAAAAUAUUGUAAGAAGUUACAAUCGAUCUCAAACUUAAAGAGAUAAAAUGUAAUUUUUUUUUUUAAUGCAAUCUUGUUAAGGGUCACAGAAUGAGUUAAAUAUUCCCACGACUAUACGUAAGAAUCUCGGUCUGAUGGGAUGAAAAUAUGGCUCCCUUUGAAAGUAUUUUUUUUUUUUUUUUACAUUGCGUAGCAUGUUUGUCUUCCGCAAAACACUUCCAAGUAUCUUUUAAACCAAAAACAUUUUAAACUAUUUUUACUUAACAUUAUCAUGUCUCUGCAAUUGCUUUAGUUAUUUAAACAGCAUUUCGAAUUGGAAACAGGCUCUACAACAAGCUAGACAUAUGAAGUUCUGAGAAUAGUUGAUAAGCAAGUUGUCCAAACCAUAUUUAUGUAAUCUUUGGAGGGUUCAGUUUAAAGCAUUUUUCUGACAUCUAUCAUCUAAGUUCACCUCACCACUUAAAUUAAUUAUUUUUUAAUUUUUAAUUGAACGAAAAGUAAAAAAGGGGCAUAUUACAUGAAACGUAAUAAGAUUCCUAUCUAAUUUUUUUUCCAAGAACCAAAAAAAAAAUUACUUGUAUCGUUGAGCAUUGAUAGAGAUAUGCCGUCCAGUAAUCCAGAAAAUUAAUUUUAUGAUCAGCCAUGUAAGGAAAACGAUGAUGUGCAAUGCUUCUUGAGGAGUUUUGUUGCUUCUCAAUAAAAUCUAUUUAUUUGAAUUUCCUGCUUCUACUACUACCUAUUGCUUGAAGUUUGCAUAGAUUAUAGAAGCAUUUUUUAUUGUUCUAAUCAUACAUGUCGAUCAUUUCCAAUUAACUGGCGAUCUUGGUGGUGUUGUUUGGAGGAUGUCGCAAUCUUCUCUCCAUCCAGUUUGGGGGUUGUGUUUAGCCGAUCUCAGGCGUCUGUUGGGAACGAUGGUUUGAGAUGGUGGGUUGGUGGCGUUUUGGCAGUGGAGUAGCAAGUUGCUAGGAUUUGUUGCGGUUUUUUUGUGCUCAAACCUUUGUUUUGGGCCAUUUUUGCUUUUACUUUGAAGGUUGAGUUGAAUAUCAGAGUGCGCAACGAACAAGACUAACAAGAAUAAUAAGAAUAUUAUUAAACUAACUGAUAAUGCCGGAACGGCUACAAAACCCUAAGAGACUAAUAACUUGUUAUUUCUAUAGAGUUACAAAGUACCAUAUAUAUAGAAAAGUAAUCUAACCCUAAUAGACAAGAAAACGAAACCCUAAUUCUAACGGGCUAAGCCCAAAAUACCAAACAUUAAAAUAAAUCUAAAUAAUAAUAUUUUCCAAGACCCCCGUCAAACUCAUGGCGGUACACGACAUGAGUUUGCUAAAAUAGAUGUGGAUGCAAGACUUCAAAUUCCAGUGCUAAUGCCGAUGUCGAUGGCAAUGCUAAUGUCGAUGUCGAUGCCGAUUUCCAAUGCCAAAUUCCAAUACCAUGCCCAAUGCCAAGUUCCAAUACCAUACCCAAUGCAAGAAUACACGGGCAACAAAACCUCAAAACAACCAAAUUUUUUUUUCCUUCCUUCUCCCCCCCCCCCCUUUUUGUUUUCCUUCCUUCGUCCUUCCUUUUUUUUCUUAUGUGCGAACCAACCAGCAACAUCAGCCUUUCUUUUUUUUUUUUUUCACAGGUGUACGGUUGUGGACGGAUCCAGAUGCAAGGUGGGGCUGGGGAAUGCAGAAAUCCUAGUGCGAUGAAGCAUUUUCAAAUUUGGGUGUGAGACAAAUUCACCAAAUUCUUUUUUUUUUCAAAAACAGAAUUUUUUUUCCUUUCUUGAAGACUACCAAGGACAAACUGAAAACCAAACCAGAAAACGUAAAAAAUCUACGAAUGGAAACUGGAAAGAAAUAAAACUGAUACGAACAAACAGAAGUAGAUUAGAUCCCGAAGAAUCAAACAUGCUCUAAAACCAAGUUGAAUAUCAGAGUGCAACAAGACUAACAAGAAUAAUAGGAAUAUUAUUAAAUUAACUGAGAAUGCAGGAACGGCUACAAAACCUAAGAGACUACAUUGUGAAUAAUUUGUUAUUUCUAUAGUGUUACAAAAUACCAUAUAUAUAGAAAAGUAAUCUAACCCUAAUAGGCAAGGAAACGAAACCCUAAUACUAACGGGUUAAGCUCAAAAUAUCAAAUAUUAAAAUAAAUCUAAAUAAUAAUAUUUUCCAACCGGUUCAUAUUUGCGUUGUGUGCUUAUUGUAAUUGAAUUUCUUUCUUUGUAAUUUUGUUGUCUUGGUAAAAAUUUUACUCUAAAAAAAAUCGAGGCUUGAAAGCUCUUCCAAUAGAGCGCUACUAAAUGUCAAUAGACCAAAUGUUUGGCAAUCUUUUAUUUUCUUAUUUAAUUAGAACAUUAAUGAUGUCACCUAUUUGCACAUACAAUAAAAGCACACCACUUUGGAAUUAUUAAAUACGAGAUUUUUUUUUAGAACUGUUUCCAAGUUAUGCUCCUUGGAAGAGCAAGCCAUUGACGGUCACCCCGCCGUCGACGAUAAUAGUCUGCCCAGUAAUGUAAGAGGCUGCAGGUAGGCAUAGAAAUGCUACCAAGGAAGACACCUCCUCUGGCUCUCCAGGACGUCCUAAAGGGCACCGAGAGUUUAUCAUCUCCAAUUUCUUUUCAUUUCGGAGAAUCUGCAUGCAUAGAAGAGAUAAUGGAUGAAAAGAGAAUGGAUGUGUAGGACACAUAUAUUAGCGACCAUCUUAGUAAUUGGUCAAGCCCUUCGUAAACAAAUUAAUUAAGACUAGAAGUAUCAUCUAAACUUGCUGUAAACUUUUCACCCAGAAACUUGCUGUAAACAUGUCAGGUCUAAGAACCUAUACAUGAAUAAAAACAAAAGACAUAUGGACUUUUGGCAAAACCCAACUUUUUAUUCCAAUUUCGACUAUGGACUUUUAGCAGACUAAUAAAUGAAAUACGGAUUGGCCUGAAGUUAUGAGAUGAUUGUAAUAUGAUGUGUGAUAUUCACAUACUUUUUUUUACUUCUUACACAUCAUUUUAAUUUGCGACCGUCGAAUCGGAUAAAUUAAAAAAAGAUUAAAGAACAUAAAUCCAUAAGAGGUGUGUUGAUAGCACACCCCUUGUAAUAUAAGAAGUUCAAAGAAUUCACUCAUGUAUCUUAAAUGCGGUUUUGAUUUUCCUGCAGCAACAUCUGUUGUAUUUAAAAAAAGGAAAAUAAAAGGCAUGCACAAGAACGUGAUUAGAAUAAUCUUACAGGAUCAGUGAGGGGAGUCUUGAUGAACCAAGGUGCCACACUGUUGGUCCUUAUGUUAUCUCUCGCCCACUCACAUGCUAAGUUUUUUGCUAACUGAUUUAGUGCACCUGAGAUACAAUAAGAAAAGCCACACUUUGGUCUAACAUUUAAAAUCACACACCAAAAAUAUUGUAAUCAAAUUUUAGGUGCUUCUCAUCUCAACCUCUUUUGAAACUAGCCACUCCUCUUUUCUCCUCUUACCAAACCCUGAAUUUUCAAACUCCAUAGUUGCCGGCCUCUUGAUUCGACUGGAGGCCGAUGGCAAUCCCUCUCCCCAUUUUUCUAGCCUCUCUUCUUUAUCUUUUCAUAGAUUGUUGCUUAUUUAUUUACGUCUUAGUAUUUUUAUUAAUAAGUGUCUUUUUGGUGAGAUUUUUUGUGGGUAUUUCUUAAUGAGUGUUUUAAGUUGAUAUGGGUGCAGACCCUUUAAGGGAAGAGAUCCCUAUUUAAAAAAAAAAUGGGGCUCCCUCUUGACCAUUAUAUCUGACUUUAAUGAAAUUCUGUGGUUGAGAUUAAAUCACAGGCCACAGAAUUUCAUUAAAGUUAAAUCUAACGGUUAAGAGGGUGUCCCUAUUUUUUUUUUUGGAAAAUAGGGAUCCCUUCCCUUAAAGGCUUUCUAUAUAGGUGGGUAUCGGCUCAUUUUGUGUCUACUUUUUUGGAGUUGGUUUGCUGCAUGUCUUGCGCACAAAGUUCAUGUUGCGCACAAAAUUAGUUUUUAAUCUUAUAUAAAGUAUUAGUCUAAAAGUGAAUUUUUUAAGGAUUUGAAUGAAGUUUUUUUUUUUUAAAUUUUUUAAUUUACAAAUUAUAAACAAUAUAUGUUUAUUUUUUUUAUUUUUAUAAAGGUCAAAAUUAUAAAAGGAAAUUAACUAUAAGCACCUUUAGUGGCAGAAUAUAUAGAUCCAACAUCAAUUGAGACCACACCAGCAGUAGAGGACAAAAAAAUGAUGUUAGCAGCUCCUGAAGCUUUGAGAAGAGGAUGUGAAAGUUGGCACAAGUGGUAAACAGAUUCAAGAUUGGUACUCAUUACGAAUGAGUAGUCUUCAGCUGUGUACUCUAGCGUUGCUUUCAGUAUGCUAGUCCCCACAUUGUUUAUCUAUAACAAGAUAUUACUGGAAAGGUUUAGCAUAACAUAACGUUUUAGCUUGUAUGUAUUAUUGAAAAAAGCAUGAAAAUUACGUGUAUCAAUUGUAAAAAAUACAUACGUAAGUGUACAUCUUUGAGUUAAAAAAAAGUACAAUUUUACGAAUUAUUAAAACGUUUAUAGCAAACAGAAAUAUUUACGAGGAUGUUUAGUUUGUUAUGAAAACGUGAUGAUGAUUAAUGAUUCAUGCAUAUAUGUUAUUUCAAUUGAUCAGUCUACUACUUACAAGGAUGUUAAGUUUGCCUUCAAAAAGUGAUGAGACCUUAUUUAUAAGCUCCUCUCUUUGGGUUUUAGACACCACAUCACAGACUGAGCCAGUUACUUGGAAACCCUUCUUCUCCCACUGACUCAGGCAGUCAUUAAGGUCAGCUUCAUUUCGGGAACAAGUAUGCACAAUUGCACCCAGCCCUGCCAAUUCCUCCACUAUAGCAUACCUAAAUAAACACUUCACUAAUUUAGCAUAGAAUUGUAAAAAAUAAUUCAAACCCAUAAUUCUGAAACAGAAAAAAACAAGGGACAAUUGGACGGAUAAAGAGAAUAUUGUAUUGCGUGUUUAAGAAAAAUUGAAACUAAAAAAAAGAUUAACGUUCUUAAUUAUCCAACUUUAGAGAAGCUAACCCAAUUCCUUUGGUUCCACCAGUGACAAGAGCUGUCAUUCCACGAAGAGACCAUCUCCUCGCUCUGCUAUUCAUCUCUAUCUGCUCUCUAUUCUCCCUGUCUGCUCUCUGCAAAUACUUAGUGGUUUAUAUUUUAUAUUUCUAAUCGAUAAUGAUUAUAAGUCUUAUUUUGGUGGCCAGGGAAAAGUAAGCGUGCCAGCCGCCUACAAAUAGUUUCUCCUCAGCAACUUGCAACUUUUUCUUGUUUUUUUGGAAACUAGCAACUUGCAACUUUCAACUUUUUGUUUGCUUGUUUUGAUAUGGCAAAGUAUGCAAAUUGAUUGUUCUUCAAUUUGAAUUUGACUAAAUUAUAUUUCAUCCAAUCGUACAAUGUCAUUCAAUUACACACAACCUCCAAUCCAAUCGUUACAACCUCCAAUCCAAUCGUUACAAGUACAAUAAUUGAGGAUAAAUUUCAGAUUCAUAUUUCACACAACACGUUUGGAAUUCGAUUGCAUGCGUUGAUGAAUCACACAAUGGUGGCCAAAGAGAAGUUGAAAUGUCACCAAGUGCUUAUCUUUUAAAAGAUUAAUAAAAUACAACCUCUGAUUUGGUACUAAUGUCAUACAAUCGUUAGUCAAUCUGUCAAAUAAGUCAUUAGGUGAUGAUGUGACAAGUGCAGCUCACAUUUUGUUAACUUUUGAGUCCAAAUUUGUGCCCCAUGGUUAAAGCAAAUUAAAAGAAAAAAUAAUAAUUAUUAAUAAUGUAAAAAUUAGAAAUCAUUUUUUUUUUAAAGGAGUACACUAUUCAUUAAUAACUAGAACAACGUACAAAUAGGGAAAAUGUGCUAACAGAGGGCCUAUAUAAAAACCUUACCGGUAAGUAACCCAAAUAAUGUAAAAAGAGUAUGUCUCGCAUAAAAUAAUAAGGACUAAAUUCCAAACAACCAAAUGUUAACUGUGAACACCAUCCUCCAACAAGAGAUCAAAAAUUAAAUCAGGAGGUCCCUCAAACCACGAAACCGGAUGAUCCAAAGUUAAAUUGAAUCUAGCUAGUCGGUGAGCCACCGAGUUUGCAUUUCAUCGUACAAAGCCUGCUUUCCACGAUUUAAAGGACUGCAUAAUCCUCCUGGUGUCUUCCAAUAAUAACGCAAACGGUACAUGGUUAGCCAUUGCAUUGUUUUGGAUUGCAGCAACUACUAGCAGCGCAUCACCUUCCAAUAUAACCUGGUCAGCACGCCACUAAAGUGCAAAAACAGCAGCUUCCCGUGCUGCAGCAACUUCCGCCUGCAUCGAAUCUGGCCUUGAGCUUCAUUACAAACCUUAAUAGCAUGAAUCUGGCCUUGAGCUUCCCAAUCAUCCAACAAAGCCGAGAGGCCUUCUGCACAUAUUACAAACAAGAACGGAGACAAUGGAUCCCCUUGCCGAAUCCCUCGUUUUGGGUGUACGAAUCCCACAGGAUCCCCAUUAAACUUGAAAGAAUAAGUCACAGUAGUAACACACAUCAUAAUCCAAUUAAUCCAUUCCUCAGCAAACCCCAAAUGUCUCAUCAUUUGCUCAAGGGAAGACCAUUCAAUACGAUCAUAUGCUUUAUUGAUAUCUAGCUUCAAAGCCAUCACACCCUUCCAACCGCUAUUCUUUGUUUUCAUAGCAUGAACAAUUUCCGAAGCCACCAAACAAUUAUUGGAAAUUAACUGACCCGAGAUGAACCCACUUUGGGAAGGCGAAAUAAUGUCAGGUAACACCAACUUCAACCUGUUCAUGAGAACUUUGGAGCAUAUCUAUAUAUAACAUUACAUAAACUGAUUGAGCGAAGUUGAGACAUGAAAGUAGGGUCCAUUUUCUUAGGAAUAAGAGUAACGUGCGUAAAAUUAAUUUUGCUCAUCAUACUUCCUGAAGAAAGGAGAGAACGAACCCCCUCAUAGAUGUCAUGACCAACGAUAGGCCAAUGUUUUUGGUAGAAUCCCAGAGUCAUCCCAUCUGGUCCAGGCGCCUUAAUGGGGUGCAUUUGAAAAAGAGCAUUCUUGUUCUCGUCAUCAGAAAACGGUACCAAGAACCCUUGAUUCAUCUCAGCCAUCACCUUUGGAGAAACCGUGCGAAGAACAGCAGACGCAUCAACCUGACCCGUGGAAUCAAACAACUUCUGAAAAUAAUUAACUAUUACCGCAGCCAUGCCAUCCUUGCUUUCCUGCCACUGCCCAUCGUCAUCAAACAAACCAUACAAACCAUUACUUCGCAACCGCCUAGAAGCCUUUUGAUGAAAAAAUCUUGUGUUUUGCAAUAUCAUUUAAUAUUUUAUCUAAAAAUUAAAGAAAAAAAAGAAAGAAAAUUUGAAACGCAGAUCUUCAUCUUCCUGUCCACCCAAUGCAGGUGACGAUCCCCCUCCCUGCAAUCAUCAAACCAAAAAGCUCCGCCGAAAUCAAACAAUCACAAUCAUCAAACCACCACCACCGUCAGAUUCCCAUGUGACCAUGAUAAUUAAGCAGUGCGAUUAUUUCAUUUAGCUUUACAUUAUUACCUGUUUAAUCUUUUACAAACAUAUUAAUUUCUUAUCCUCUAAUUGGGCAAUUUACUGUUAAAAAGUUAUGUCCUUACUGGCUGUUUUAGCCAAGGUUCUAAAAAACGCUAGGCGCUAGUCGGGCGACGAGCCAGUGCCUAGGCGGCUUAGGUGGAUUUAGGUAAAUUUCUUAUAUAUCUUGUAGAUAAGUGCAUAUUGACACAUAAAAAAUUAUAUUUGUAUGAAAUUCAUGGAUAAGAUAAUAAAAGAAUGAUAAAAUAUAAAAAGAAUAUUUAGUUUUUAAAUAAUUAGUAUUUAAUUUUUAAAUAAUAAAUAUUUAAAAACCCCACCAAGUGGGUUUGGUAGUUCAUAAACAUUUAAAAAUCAAAUGGUCGUUCAUAAAAUCCACGUGUGAGAGGUUUGACACCUCCCUUCCACCUCCACUUUCUCACAUCAGGUAGGAUUCAAAAGGUGGAGCUAGUUAUGCCUUGGAAAGCGAUCUCACAUUAUUUUUUUUGGGUUUUCUUUUCCUCUUCUGCCUUGGAAAGAGGAAAGCCCCAUUAAUGUUUUGAAAUUUUUUACUUCUUCUCUUCUUCUCCUUCUCUGAUUACUCUAUUUUUCCAUUUCCUCUUCUUCUGUUGCUCUGUAAAUUUCCACAGUAGCCUUUCUCGCUUCUUCUCCGAGCUUCUUUCUGCUUCCAAGGCGCUCACUCUGUCUCUCUCUCUUCUAGCUGCCAAGUAACUUCCAGUUCUGCCCCCAUCAACUCUAUUAAUUCCACCAUGAAACUUUGCACAUUCUGCAACUCCAUCCAAAAUCCAUCUCUAAAGUUCCAAUCUUUUCUCUUAAUCUUCUCAGCUCCACCACUCAUUCUACCCCUCAGAACCCAACAAAUUACAUAUGGGUCCCUCCCAAAGUCCUCAAACAAGCUUCCUUUCCACCACAAUGUCACCCUCACAGUCACCGUCGCAGUCGGAACACCGCCGCAGAAUGUUUCGAUGGUCAUCGACCCCAGAAGCGAGCUUUCCUGGCUUCACAGCAACAAAACCCGGGACUAUAACAAGACAUUCGAUCCGACCCAAUCCACCUCCUACUCCCCCGUCCCAUGCUUCUCAUCCACUUGCACGAACCGGACAAACCUUGCCAAUUUAUGAAACGAUUUUGAGUUAAUCGCGGCGAAGCACCGCCGCCUAGCGCCCAGGCACCGCCUAGGCGGCCGCCUCAACCGUUUUUUAGAACACUGAUUUUAGCUCACUCCUCUUUUGUUUUGCAGGUUUACAAAUAGACAAUCAAAAUGGUAGAUGGAAUGAGAUUGAAUUAGUUUUGAGGCUAGAAGUUCAAUUAAUUUUUAUUUUGGACUCGUCGAGAAGUAUGAUUUUCGUUUUUGAAUCACUUGAUUUCGUUGAGUAUUAAAGAAGGUAUGAACGUUUAAAGUUUACCCAGUUUCCAGCGAGUUUUUCAGUUUUCCCUCGGACCAGUCAACUUUGAGACUAUUUUCCGGCCAUCUCUAGAAAUCAUUGGGCUUCCAAAUAGGUAUAAUUUUAUUCUACACUUUCUUAUCUUCAUUUUGAUAUAUUAUAGGUUGAAUUUGGCUAAGAAACGAUUGAGUUACGAAGUUUUCAAAAUUGCCCAAACUUCCGGCUAAAAGCUCUGGGACACUUAAUUGAGUUUUUAACGGAAUGAUCAAAAUGAUGGAUGGUGGACAAUCUCAGGGAUCACUUUUAUUGAUUUGGAAUGUUAUGAACCAAAGUGAUAAGUUAUACAAAUCACAGAGACCAUUUUAGCUAUUUAGCCAGUAGAAAAAUAAUUCAAAUCCAUAAUUCAUCCACGGACGUUUGCAACUUUUUGUUUGCUUGUUAUCAUGUCACAAACGACGCAAAAUGAUUGUCCUUGAAUUUGAAUUUGGGUAACCUUAAAUUUUCGUCCAAUUUCAAUAUUAUACCUCUCUCAAUUUUUAUAUACCAGCCGUCAAAUUUGAUUAAGUGAUAAAAUGAAAAGUUUGGAACUUAUAUUUUACUGAUUUGGAGUCCAAAUUUAUGCCACAAGUUAGAACAAAUUAAAAAAAAAGUUUUAUUAUUAAUAAUGUAUAAAUUAGAAAAUCAUCUGCAAGAUCAUUUAAUAUUUUAUUUAAAAUUUAAAAAAAAACAAACGAAGGAUUUUUAUCACAAAUGGUCCAUGAAAUUGAUCCCUCAAUCAUGAUGGUCUCUAAAAUUGAAAAUCGAUCAAUGUAAUCACUGAAUAUUAGUCCCGCAAAUCAAUGUCUUUCUGUCACUGUUCCGUCCAAACUAGCGUUAAGAGAUUUUUUGGAAUUAGAUAAGAUAUAUAUUUUUUCCCUGAUCUCAAGCAUUGUCUCUUCUACUACAUAUGCAUACAUAUAGAACUAUUUCCAAGUCAUGCUCCUUGGAAGAGCAAGCCAUUGAUGGUCACCUCGCCGUCGACGAUAAUAGUCUGCCCAGUAAUGUAAGAGGAUGCAGGUAGGCAUAGAAAUGCUACCAAGGAGGACAACCUCUGGCUUUCCAGGACGUCCUAAAGGUCACCGAGAGUUUAUCAUCUCCAAUUUCUUUUCAUUUCCGAGAAACUGCGUUUAUAGAAGAGAGAAUUGAUGUGUAGGACACAUAUAUUACAAGCGCUUCAUUAACAUAAUAAAUAAGGCUAGAAGUAUGAUCUAAACUCGCUGUAAACUUUUCAUCAAAAAACUUGUUGUAAACAAGUCAGGUCUAAAAUUGAACCUAUACAUGAAUAAACAAAAGAUAUAUUGAACGCGAUUUAAGAUGUUUAGAAUAACGGUAGCCGGCUAUCUAGGCAGCUUUGGAGGUGGUUAGCAUGUCAAUUAUGUAUCUCUAUGUCUUUUUCAGAUUCUCUGGUUGCUUUUUGGGAUGCCUACGUAAGCCCUUUUCCUAACAACUGCACAAUCUAUGGAUUUUUUCGAAUCUUUAUACUAUUUUGACUAUUUGGAAAUCUCAAAAUAGGUUUAUUUUUUAGGGUCACCCAAUCUAUUUUCAUCGGCUUUGCAUGUCUAUCAAUUUUGGGAUCGUUCAUGGUUGGAAGUUUAUUCCUACUUAUUCUCAAGGCACUAGUCUAUCCUUGGCAAGGCUUCAACUAGUCAUCCUGUGCUUUGGUCUUUCCUUGGAUUAAACUUAAUACAGAUGGUUUGUCCAAAGGAAAUUCCAGUCCUACUCCUUGUGGAGGAGUUUUCAAAGAUUGCCAUUGCACAACCCGUCUCGAUUUAUUUUACGGGUUUUACGGAACGGAAGGUUAGUCUCAUAAUUUCACUUUGGUUUUAAAAAUGUGUUUGAAAAGGGUUUCUUUUGGACCUUAAAUGGUGUGCCCAAGGGGGCCCACCCCUAAUUUUCUGUCCCUGAUUCCCCUUUCCCCCGCCUGCCACGUGGCAAACCCCUACCCACUUCAUUUCUCAUUCUCUUCUCCCCGAGCACUCACUCUCUCAGCUCUAUAUCACUCUCUUUCACACACUCAACCUCUCUCCCUCAUCCCGAUUCACUCACACAUCCACACACCCAAAUCAAGGAAAGCAACGGCGACGGCGACACCAUCACAUCCACCGUGGUAGCACUCUCCCUCAUAUCUGUGAAGAAACCGGACACCUAGAGGGCACCCAAACCAAGACUUCGGCGAGCCCAGUGGGUUUCGAGCAAUGAAUCGGCCACCUUCGGCCAUUCCACGAUGAUUAGGAGGUAACCAAUCUUUCCUUUUUGUCUCUAUUUCAUUUUGGUACCUAGAUCGAGUCUUAGGUGUGAGCAGCGACGUCGACCGAAACUCAAGAGGCUCCGGCUUCCUUCCCCAGCGAGAAUAGGUAGCCAAGGCCCUUGGGUCGAGGAAACUAAGGCCUUUGGCCCGCUAAAGCUUUAGCCCAAGACCAAAGGGUUUCAGCCUGUGAGCUUUAGACCCAAACCCUUUUUAUUUAUAUUUAUUUUGUUUUCUUUUAAAAACCCAAAAACAAUCGGGCUAGGUUUCAAGCCCAACCCAGCCCAUUUAAAAACCCCUUAACCUUUUUAGACCCUUGCCUUAGGGCCGUUUGAGAUUAGGUCUUUGGGCCUUUGCAUCCGAGCCCAAACCCUUUGAAGCAAGCUUUCAGGCCAUGUAGAAGUUGGGCCUUUGGGGCCUGUGUAAAUCGAACCCAACCCAGAGAGAGACAGGCCUUUGGGCCAUCCAACUUGGGCCUCCAGCUCGGUAGUCUUAAUCCCAACUCGAACCCAUGAACCAUUGAUCGACUCGGACCCGUUAACCGUUGACUGGUUCGACCGUUAACUUAGUCAACAUUGAUCGUUGACUUUGACUUUGGUUUGUUGACUUUUUCUGGUUUUGUUCAGAAACCUUCUAGGCUAAUUUCGACGUCCUAGAACCGUUUUUUAUGUCCGUUUUCCCAAAUUCAAUUGUUUGAAUAUAGUUUUAUUAAUUGGACCAUUUAUGUGCUUAGGGGCAAUUAUUUGUGGUGUUUCCAUCUUAACUAGUUUGCGUGGCUCUUCGGCAGCGAGGUAUCUGUGAUUGGACCCUUUCUAAAAUGCAUGUUUUAAUAGUAGAAAUGCAUACAUGAAAAAUAUGAUUUAAUGAUUAAGUUUUAUGAAAUGUUUUAUGAGAUAUUAUCUUACUGAGAAUAUAUUGAAUUAUCAUAUUUUAUCGAACUAAUGUUCUUUGUAGUAUAUAUGAUGGAUGACUAUAUACUGCUUACGAACAUGCUUUUACACACUUUUUUAUAGUAUAUAUGAUGGAUGACUAUAUGCUAUGAAGAUGAUUUUGAGAUAUAUGUAUUUAUAUUUUGGGAAAUACUAUACUCAAUGUUUUUGUGUGUAUCUAGUGGUCACUGUUCUACCUACGGGCAAUGAUACUUAUAUUGGCUUCGGCUGGGCGUAAGUUGGUGCCUGUUUGGCAAAUGUAGUGUUCUGAAGGAAAUGUUCUAAAUGAGGAGUUCUCUAUGCCUUCGGGCGAUAUUGAUACCACUAGUUAGCACAUUAUAUACGUGAUAUUUAAGGUUUUAUGGCAUGCUAGGGUUUCAGAAACCUAUUACAUAUUAUAUUAUUGAAUUUCCAUAAACCUUUAGGGGUUAGUAUGUUGAUAAUUAUUUCAUUCUUAUAUGUAUAUCAACUUGGUCCGCUCUUGUUUGUUUUGCACCCCCUCAGGACUUAGAUUUGAGGUGUAAAAUCCCGGCAUCAAGGCACUUCCGCAUCGGCAUCUUCAAGUCUUCUUGGUGUAGGACCCAUUCCUUCAUUCAUUUAAUUUUAUAUUAUUUCGUUGGUUUUUACAUUAAAGUGACGUGAAUUAGAAAUCUCAUUAAGAGGAAGUCUGGUUAAGACCAGCUGAAGAUCCGAAAUGACGAUGCCACUUUGUAACAUGUGUUUCCCUAGGAAUUGGGAGCAGAGUCGGAUCUUCAUCGGAAUGUUGGGAAAUGAAAAAAUCUUAGUGGUACGAGUUGGUUAAGACCAACUGGAAAUCUAAGCGGUGUUGGACUCUGCGACAUGUGUACCCUAGGAAUGGCGGGCAGAGUCAUAUCCUUAUGGAAAUUACUUGAAAGUUCGUGUUAGAGAAAAUGAGUAAACGCUAGUUGUUACGAAGUUUAGUAAAUGGUAGUUUGGUGGGAUUGAAUCAAUGUUCUUGGACUCGUUUCCACUGAGAAAAUUCUUGUGGAUCUUUAGAACAAUUCUCGGUGAUUGUUCUAUCAAUAACUUUCUUGCUUACUCCAAUAGCGAAGUCAAGUCCCCUAACCUUUGACUGUCAACUUCACAUCAAAUUAUUCGAACGUUGUUUUUUACUAGAGUAUAGAAAUGUCAACUGCACUAUUGUGUACCACCUCGAUUGUGCAAGCGUAGUUGCUGAAUACCUCGGUAGAAAAAACACACAAAGCUCAAAGGGGAUAUAGGUUGAAUGUUUUGGCUUCCUAAUAAUGAGGCAUGGUAGAUCAGCAGAGUAAUGCAAUUGCAUAUUGCGAUGAUUAACCAAAUAAUCAUAAACAGUGACUUCUAUUUUUGCAUCUUCACUUUCCUUGGUUAUUUGUUCCUCAAUGUAAAACUAGAUCAUACUGUCGUACUGAUGUUUUUUACUACCCUUCCCGCCAAGCCCAUUCUGAUCAUGUAAACCUAAUCGAACAAUUAUCUAGUAAGACCGUAUUGGAUUAGAAAACCUGAAAAGCCAAAUCUACUAAAAUCAUAUAAAUUUGUCAGGAGGUUCAAAACAUCAAAUUAUUUCACGAGUUGCUGGACGAAGUUGAUUGACAAGUUAUAUUAAUAGGUGUGUUUUUGUGGAUGCGUACGCCCAGUUUCAUAUCGAUUCAGACAGGAAUGUUAGGAGUGUAACCUUUUCACAAGCUUACCAGAAUUACCGGAAAGACUUCCAUGUAGAUGUGAGCUUUGAGUCGUCUUUUAGUAAGAGAAUGAUGAAGAUUAUAGCGCAGGUGGUCAGCGAAUUGCAUCAUCAAUCAUUAUCUUCACGCAUAAAUGAAUAGUCACCACUCAUUAUUUUGCUGCAAUUCAUGAACAUCAUAUCGUACUUUAGUAGUUCUUUCCCAAUGAUAUGAUGCCUAUGAAUUGUAGCAAGAUAAGGAGAUGUGUGCGCUUCAACGCAUCUUUCCAAUGUUUCACUCCAAGACCUUAUUGUUCUUGAGUACGUGGAUGUCAAAACACUUUUAGUAGAUUUGAUUGGUGCGCUCUGGAAUGGUACCACAUCACGGUCAAGGCGAGAAUCAAAUGAUCUUUUCACACUCUCAUGUUGCUGAGCAAAAUGGUAUUUUGGCACUUUUGGCGACAUGGUACGAGAACUUUUACAGGCAACACCUGUUGACAAAGGGAUUUUUGCGAACUUGUAUCUGGAGGAUCGAAUUUAUGAUGUGAGAAAUUAUGCACCCUUAAGAAAUCACUGCUUGCUUACUGAGACAAUAAUGGGUGGUUGAUAUCGUGGGGAGCUGACUGUGAUAUCGAUAGCUUAUUCGUUGGAUCCGUUAAGCAUGUGGGCAGGUAGACCCAUCUACGGUAGAUAUUACUGAGUAGUCAUCGUUGGGGCUCGACCCAAAGACAAUUUUUCUCGUGGUACAUGACGUUACAUAUACGUGGGUGAAACCCACUUUCAUUUUCGGUUUUGGUUUUUAGUACAAGUAUUUUAACUUACAUAUUAUAGUUGUACGUGUUUUCUGAAGUUAAACAAAAAUUGGUCGAGUUAUUUCCACUUUCACUGUUGAGUUCAAUACGAAUUAUUCGACCUCUAUGUUAUUACUUAUCUAUUUUGACGUUAUCAUAUUUUGCAUACUUAUUUUUGAUGUUUUCGACUUUAUAUCUUUAUAAAGUAUGUUUUCUACUUUUACACUGAUGGGGAAAGAAAGUAUGAGCCUGGAGGCACGAAAGAUGGAAUCAUUGCAACCUGAUCACGAUGGUGUGGCAUUUUCCCUUUUCUACAACUGCUCUGACUUGAUUUCUUCUAUACAUAUAUAUUUUCUUCUCCCUAUUUUCAAGUUUUUUAGUGUAGCAAGUUAUUUUAAAUUUCGUGACAAAAUUUUAUUUAAUGGGGGUAGAUUAUGACAACCCGUCUCAAUUUAUUUUGUGAGUUUUACGGAACGGAAGGUUAGUCUCGUAAUUUCACUUUGGUUUUAAAAAUGUGUUUGAAAGAGGUUUGUUUUGGACCUUAAAUGGUGUGACCAAUGGGGACCACCCUUAAUUUUCUGUCCCCGGUUCCCUUCUUCCCCACUUGCCACUUGGCAGAUCCCUACCCAUUUCCUUUAUCUUCUCCUCGAGCACUCACUCUCUCAGCUCUCUAUCACUCUCUCUCACACACUCACCCUCUAUCCCUCAGACUAUUUCCCUCACCCUAAUUCACUCACACAUCAACACACCCAAAUCAAGGAAAGCAACGACGACGGCGACACCACCACAUCUACCAUGGUAGCAUUAUCCCUCUCCCUCGUCUCUGUGAAGAAACGGGACACCUAGAGGGCACCCAAACCCAGACUCCAGCGAACCCAAUUGUUUUGAGCAAGGAAUUGGCCACCUCCGACUAUUCCACGAUGAUUAAGAGGUAACAAUUUUUUCCCUUUCGUCUCUAUUUCAUUUUGGUACCUAGAUCGAGUCUUAGGUGUAAGCAACAAUGUCGACCGAAGCUUGGGAAGCUCCGGCCUCCUUCCCUAGCAAGAACAGGUAGCCAAGGCCCUUGGGCCGAGGAAUCUAAGGCCUUUGGCUUGCUAAACCCUUAGCCCAUGACCAAAGGGUUUCGGCUCGUGAGCUUUAAACCUAAACCCUUUUUAUUUUUAUUUAUUUUGUUUUCUUUUAAAAAUCCAAAAACAAUCGGGUCAUGCUUCAAGCCCAGCCCAAUUGAAAACCCUUUAAUCCUUUCGAACCUAGGCCUUAGGGUCGUGUGGGAUUUGGACUUUGAGCCUUUGCAUCAGAGCCCAAACCCUUGUAGCCCCAAACCCUUUAAAGCAGGCUUUUGGGUCGUGUGGAAGUUGGGCCUUUAGGGCACGUGUAAAUCAAACCCAACCCAAAGAGAGGCAGGCCCUUGGGCCUCCGACCCGGUAGCCUGAAGCCCAACCCGGUUCGACCCGAAAUCGUUGACAGACCCGGACCCGUUGACUGUUGACUUUGACUUUGACCGGUCAAAGUGGACUUUUUGUUGACUUUUUCGGGUUUUGUUUAGGAACCCUCCUAGGUUAAUUUCGACAUCCUGGAUCCAUUUUUGACAUUUGUUUUCCCAAAUUCAAUCGUUUGAAUAGAGUUUUAUUAAUUGGACCCUUUAUGUGCUUAGGGGUAAUUAUUUGUGGUGUUUUUGUCUUCUUUAGUUUGCGUGGCUUUUCGACGGUGAAGUAUCUGUGAGUGGACCCCUUUUUAAAAUGAAUGUUUUAAUAGUAGAAAUGCACACAUGACAAGCAUGAUUUAAUGAUUCAUUUUAUGAAACGUUUUAUGAGAUAUUAUGCUUACUAAGAAUAUUUUGAAUUAUCAUAUUUUAUCGAACUGAUGUUCUUUGUAGUAUAUAUGAUGGAUGACUGUAUACUGCUUACGAACAUGCUUUUACACACUUCUUUAUAGUAUAUAUGAUGGAUGACUAUAUGCUAUGAAGAUGAUUUUGAGAUAUAUGUACUUAUAUUUGGGGAAAGACUAUAUUCAAUGUUUUUGUGCGUAUCUAGUGGUCACUGUUUUGCCUACGCUCAUCUUUCUCCUUUUACCAUACUUUAAACAUACAAACUCCAUAGUCGCUGCCCUUCCUCCUACUGGAGGCCGGUGGCAAUCCCUCUCCCCAUUUUGCUAGCCUCCCUCUUUUAUCUUCUCAUAGAUUGUGACUUAUCUAUUUUUUGUCUAAGUAUUUUUGUCAAUAAAUAUCUCCUUGUUGAGAUUUUUUCAGUCCUUCUUCAUGAUUAUUUUAAUUUUGUGUUCGUAUGUUAUUGGCUUCUUCUGUGCAACUUUGUUGAAAUUGGUUCAUUGAUUGUGUUGCACACAAAAUUAGCUUUUAAUCUGCUAUAAGGUGUUCGUCUAAAAGUGAUAUUUUUUUUUUUUAAAGAUUUGAAUGAAUUUUUAACUAAUUAUAAACAAUAUAUGAUACUUUUCAAAAUUUUAAUAGAAGUCGAAAUCUAUAUAAGGAAAUUAACUAUAAGCACCGUCUUAUUUGGCAGCUCGGACUGUACUGACUAUUUCUAUUAGAUAUGAUAAAUAGCCACCAGAUAGUACUGAGUAAAUUAGUCGAGUGUUUGGUGUAGUAUCAGACUAAUAACCGUAUUAUUUAUACUGUGUUUGAUUUUAUACCGGAUAGGAGGAAUCAAACUUAAAAAAAAAAAAAUUAAACUUAAAAAACAAAACAGAAACCAUCACUUUUGUUCCCAGAUCUCUCCGCCGCACCCCUCAAACUCCCUCAAUCUCUCUCCCUUCUUCUUCUUCCCCGACUACAGAAGAAUCCCAAAUAAUUGUUCCCCAAAUCUCUUUGUCGCACCCCCCCCAAACUCCCUCCCUCUCUCUCCUUUCUUCUUCCCCGAUUGCAGAAGAAUCCCAAAUAAAUUCAAACAGCCAGUUGCGGAAGAAUCCCAAAUUGAAAUCAUCUCUCCGCCGCACCAUGUUUCUUUGCAAGACCCAGUUGCAGGGGAGAACAACGAGUAGGCAAUGAGGAAGGCCACAAGGAGACGAGGACUAGGAGAGCAAAGAUGGCGAGAGAAAGUGACGGCGACAGAAAACAACGGUGAGAGAAAGCGACGGGGAGGACGGCGAUGGUGAAAGAAGGUGACGGGGAGGACGAUGACGCCGAGAGAAGGAGAGAGAGAGAGAAGGCCAACUAAUAAUCCGAGCAUUUUGGUUGGUUUUAUUAAUCCGACGUAUACUGUGUUAAAUAAACAGACCAGUUAAAUUAAUCUGGCGCUUAUUUAGUACGAGUGAACGCCAAACACCCACGUCUGUAUAACUAGUCCUAUUCGAUCCUUUAUCCGAUCUGCCAAACAGGGCCUUAGUGGCAGAAUAUAUAGAUGCAACAUCUAUUGAGACCACACCAGCAGUAGGGGACAAAAAAAAAACAAUGUUAGCAGCUCGUGCAGCUUUGAGAAGAGGAUGAAAGUUGGCACAAGAGGUAAGCAGAUUCAAGAUUGGUUAUGAAUGAGUAAUCCUCAGCAGUGUACUCUAGAGUUGCUUUCGGUAUGACAAUCCCCACGUUGUUUAUAUAUAACAAGACAUUAUUGAAAAGGUUUAGCAUAACAUAACGAUUUUACCUUAUAUGUAUUAUUGAAAAAUGCAAGAAAAUUAUGUGUAUUAAACAUAAAAAGUACAUACAUACGUGUAGAUCUUUGAGUUUUAAAAAACAUACAAUUUUACGAAUUAAUGAAAUUUGAAACGUGUACAACAAACAAAUUUAUUUACGAGGGGAUGUUAAGUUUGUUAUGGAAGUGUGAUGAUGAUUCGUGAUUCAUGCACAUAUGUUAUUUUAACUAAUUAGUCUUCUACCUACAAGGAUGUUGAGUUUGCCAUCAGAAAGUGAUGAGACCUUGUUUAUAAGCUCCUCUCUUUGGGUUUUUGACUUGAAGACAGAUCCGGCCUCGGGAGUUGCGAUGGACCUUGUUUAUAAGCUCAUCUCUUGGCUGAAUGGAAGUAUUGACCAAGGCAACUGGGAGGUUUUCCAGACCAAGUGGGAGAUUUGUUGAGAAGGUGCGGAUUUCAGUUUGUGUGAAUGGUCUUGGGUACCGAGAUCAGCCAAUAGAGCGGCGGAUUUUGUGGUGUCGCAUGUUGGAGCGGAGAUAUGCGACUUAGUCUGGGUUCAACGACCCCCAUCUUCGUUUAUUCGGAAUCUGAACAAGGAUGGUCUACCCUGCCCUCCAACUUAGCUUUUGUUAGAUGUGAUUAAGGUGACAUUGGGGGGGGGGGGGGGGUGCAUACGUGUCGUAGUUUUUCCCUUAGUCCCGUUUAUUUCUGAUGUUGUUUGCCCAAGGUGGCUUUCUGUACUCCUAUUUGGCUUUGGCCCUAGUGAAUGAUAUUUUCCGAUUAUUCAAAAAAAAAAAAAAAAACACACUAUGCAAAUUGAUUGUCCAAUUUGAAUUUGACUAAAUUAUAUUUCAUCCAUUUUCAACAUCGUACAAUGUCUUUCUAUUUCGUACAACUUCUUAUUCAAUCAUUACACGAUGGUCCAGUAGUUUAGGACGAAUUCUAAACUCGUAUUCGAUAAAACUCGUUCUGAAUUUGAUUCAUAACACUGGUGAAUCAUACACUAUAAUUUUGGAGCUAGAAAACAAAUGGAAAGUAUUAGAGAGUGGGAGAGAACUUUGUGUUUACAGUACCACGUCCAGAAUGAGAUCGAUGUCAUUUUGGUUAAUUUUUUAGCAAAUACUACAUUUUCUUAAUGCAAUCUUGUUAAUGGUAACAUAAUGAGUUUAAUGCUCACAAGAUCUCAAAAAUUGCAUAGCAUGUUAUUCUUCCACAAACAGUUCAAGUACUUUUUAAACCAAACACAUUUUAAACUAUUUUUAAUUAACAUUGUCAUGUUUGCAAGCGCUUUAGUUAUUUAAAAGCAUUUUGAAUUGGAAACGGGCCCUACAACAAGCUAGACAUAUGAAGUUUUGAGAAUACUUGAUGAGCAAGUUGUCCAAACCACAUUUAUGUAAUCUUUGGAGGGUUCAGUUGAUGGUGCUUAAAGCGUUUUUCUGACAUCUCUCAUCUAAGUUCACCUCACAACUUAAAAUAAUUAUUUUUUAAUUUUUAAUUGCAUGAAAAGAAAAAAAAAGGGACAUAUUAUUACAUGAAACAUAAUAAGAUUCCUAUCUUAAUUUUUUUUCUAAGAACAAAAAAAAAACCUUGUAUCGUUGACCAUUGAUAGAGACAUGCCGUCCAGUAAUCCAGAAAAUUAAUUUUAUGGAAAACUAAUGAAAAUAGCUUGAAAACUUUGAGUUUUAAAGAUAAGGACAAAAUAAAGAAAAAAGUGAAUAGUACAAGGAUUGACUUUUUAAUGUAAAAAUAUGAUUUUUCGUUAAAGUGAAUAGUACCACUGGCUUUUCAUUAAAACUCCCUUAAUUUUAUGAUCGGCUUUGUAAGGAAAGCGAGGAUGUGCGAUGCUUCUUGAGGAGUUUUGUUGUUUGUCAAUAAAAUCUAUUUAUUUGAAUUUCCUGCUUCUAGUACUACCUACUGCUUGAAGUUUGAACAUAUUAUAGAAGCAUUUUUUAUUGUUCUAAUCGUACAUGUAGAUCAUUUCCAAUGAACUGGCAAUCUUGGUGUGUUGUUUGAAGGAUGUUGGAGUCUUCUCUUCAUCCCGUUUUGGGGUUGUCUUCGGCCGAUCUCAGGCAUCUAUUGAGGGCGAUGGUUUGAGAUGGUGGGUUGGUGGCGUUUUGGCAGUGGUGGAGUAGCAAGUUGCUAGGAUUUGUUGCGGUUUUUUCUUUUGUGGUGAGCUCAAACCUUUGUUUUGGGCCAUUUUUGCGUUACUCUGAAGGUCUACAUCCACGCUGUGUGCUUAAUGUAAUUGGAUCUCUUUCUUUGUAAUUUUGUUGUCUUGGCAAAAAUUUUACCCUAAAAAAAAUCUAGGCUUGAAAGCUCUUCCAAUAUAGCGAAACUAAACGUCAAUAGACCAAAUGUUUGACAAUCUUUUAUUUUCUGAUUUAAUUAGAACAUUAAUGAUGUCACCAGUUUUCACAUACAAUAAAAGCACACCACUUUGGAAUUACUAGAUACGAGAUUUUUUUUUUUAGAACUGUUUCCAAGUUAUGCUCCUUGGAAGAGCAAGCCAUUGACAGUCACCCCGCCGUCGACGAUAAUAGUUUGCCCAGUAAUGUAAGAGGCUGCAGGUAGGCAUAGAAAUGCUACCACGGAAGACACCUCCUCUGGCUCUCCAGGACGUCCUAAGGGGCACCGAGAGUUUAUCAUCUCCAAUUUCUUUUCAUCUCGGAGAAACUGCGUGCAUAGAAGAGAUAAUGGAUGAAACGAGAAUGAAUGUGUAGGACACAUAUAUUACCGAUGAUCUUAAUAAUUGGUCAAGCUCUUCGUAAACAAAUUAAUUAAGACUAGAAGUAUGAUGUAAACUUGCUGUCAACUUUUCACCAAAAAUCUUGCUGUAAACAAGUCAGGUCUAAAAUUGAACCUAUACUUGAAUAAACAAAAGACAUGGACUUUUGGCAAACCCCAACUUUUUAUUCUAAUUUUGCCUAUGGACUUUUGGCAGUCUCAUCAAUGAAAUACUGAUUGGCUUAAAGUUAUGAGAUGAUUGUAAUACAAGUAGUUAAAAGAAUUCACUCAUAUAUCUUAAAUUCAAUUUCGAUUUUCCUUCCAGAACAUCGAUUGUAUUAGAAAAAAUGAAAAUAAACAGCAUGCACAAGAACGUGACCAGGAUAAUCUUACAGGUUCAACGAGGGGAGUCGUGAUGAACCAAGGUGCCACACUGUUGGUCCUUAUGUUAUCUUUCGCCCACUCACAUGCCAAGUUUUUUGCUAACUGAUUCAUUGCACCUGAUGAGAUACAAUAAGGAAAAGCCACACUUUUGUCAAACAUUAAAAAUCACACACCAAACAAUGUAAUCAAAUUUUAGGGGUUUCUCGUCUCAACCUCUUAUGGUUUAAAAAAAAUAAAAAAAAAUAAAAAAAAAACUAGCUGCUCCUCUUUCUCCUCUUACCAAACCCUAAAUCUUCAAACUUCAUAGUCGCCAGCCUCUUGCUCCGACUGGAGGCAGUGGCAAGCCCUCUGCUCAUUUUUCUAGCCUGUCUCCUUCAUCUUCUUAUCGAUUGUUGCUUAUUUAUUUUUCAUCUUAGCAUUUUUGUCGAUAAGUGUCUCCUUGGUGAGGUUUUUUGUGAGUAUUUCUUCGUGAGUGUAUUAAUUUUGUAUUGGUGUGUUAUCGGCUCCUUUUGUGUCUACUUUGUUAACACGAAAUUCAUGUUGUGCACAAAAUUAGCUUUUAAUCUUAUAUAAGGUAUUAGUCUAAAAGUGAUAAGGAUUUGAAUGAAGUUUUUUUUUACAAAUAAUAAACAAAAUAUGUUUUAUUUUAUUUUAUUUUAUUUUAUAAAGGUCAAAAUUACAUAGGGAAAUUAACUAAGCACCUUUAGUGGCAGAAUAUAUAGAUCCAACACCUGCUGAGACCACACCAGCAAUAGAGGACAAAAAAACGAUGUUAGCAACUCCUGAAGCUUUGAGAAGUGGAUGUGUAAGUUGGCACAAGUUGUAAGCAGAUUCAAGAUUGGUCUCAUUAUGAAUGAGUAAUCUUCAGCUGUGUACUCCAGCGUUGCUUUCGGUACGACAGUCCCCACAUUGUUUAUCUAUAACAAGACAUUAUUGGAAAGGUUUAGCAUAAUAUAACAAUUUUAGCUUAUAUGUAUUAUUAAAAAAUGCACGAAACGUGUACAUCUUUGAGUUUUAACAAACCUACAAUUUUACGAAUUAUUGAAACGUCUACAACAAAAAGAAAUAUUUACGAGGAUCUUAAGUUUGCCAUGAAAGAGUAAUGAUGAUUAAUGAUUCAUGCAUAUGUGUUAUUUCAAUUGAUCAGUCAUUUACUUACAAAAAUGUUAAGUUUGCCAUCAAAGAGUGAUGAGACCUUGUUUAUAAGCUCCUCUCUUUGGGUUUUAGACACCACAUCACAGACUGAGCCAGUGACUUGAAAACCCUUCUUCUCCCACUGACUCAGGCAGUCAUUAAGGUCAACUUCAUUUCGGGAACAAGUAUGCACAAUCGCACCCAGCCCUGCCAAUUCCUCCACUAUCGCAUACCUAAAUAAAUACUAAACUAAUUUAACAAACAGCAGUAAAAAAAUAAUUCAAACCCAUAAUUCUAAAAGAGAAGAAAACAUGGGAUAAGUGGAGAAAUAAAAUGAAUAUUGCAUUGCAUGUAUAGGAAAAUUGAAACUAAAAGAAGAUUAAUGUUCUUGAG